AGUGAACGCUGGCGGUAGGCCUAACACAUGCAAGUCGAACGGCAGCACAGUAAGCGCUUGCUCUUACGGGUGGCGAGUGGCGGACGGGUGAGGAAUACAUCGGAAUCUACUUUUUCGUGGGGGAUAACGUAGGGAAACUUACGCUAAUACCGCAUACGACCUACGGGUGAAAGCAGGGGAUCUUCGGACCUUGCGCGAUUGAAUGAGCCGAUGUCGGAUUAGCUAGUUGGCUGGGUAAAGGCCCACCAAGGCAACGAUACGUAGCUGGUCUGAGAGGAUGAUCAGCCACACUGGAACUGAGACACGGUCCAGACUCCUACGGGAGGCAGCAGUGGGGAAUAUUGGACAAUGGGCGCAAGCCUGAUCCAGCCAUACCGCGUGGGUGAAGAAGGCCUUCGGGUUGUAAAGCCCUUUUGUUGGGAAAGAAAAGCAGCAGGUUAAUACCCCGCUGUUCUGACGGUACCCAAAGAAUAAGCACCGGCUAACUUCGUG
rnacentral:rRNA from 1 species